rnacentral:antisense_RNA from 1 species
UCCGUGCUGUGGGCAAAAGAACAGAGCCCACGUCCCCAGUGCCUGAGUGCCCGCCCCUGGGUUGUCUGAGCAGAAGCUGGAUCGUGUGCCUGGAGCCCUGUCGCCCUCAGCCAGACCCGGGGUCUGGCUGGGCCACCUCUCCGGAAGCAUCAGGGAACCGGUUGGAGAGAGGCUCAUAUGGCGGUCCCAGGGGCCACCUCGAGGGGGUUGACCGGAGCUGGGUCUGGGAGCUGCAGCAGAGGGAAGCUGGCAUGAGGAGAGAACCACAGGUGGGUGUGUGCACAAAGUGAAGGCGUGUGGAGGCCCCGUGGGUUUACAUGACCCUGAGACACCACUCACAAUCACCCCCACAUUAUUUUUAAUAAAGGUUGUGGAGAGGCUGCC